rnacentral:rRNA from 1 species
GAUAAACGCUGGCGGCGUGCCUAAUACAUGCAAGUCGAGCGAACAGACGAGGAGCUUGCUCCUCUGACGUUAGCGGCGGACGGGUGAGUAACACGUGGAUAACCUACCUAUAAGACUGGGAUAACUUCGGGAAACCGGAGCUAAUACCGGAUAAUAUAUUGAACCGCAUGGAUCAAUAGUGAAAGACGGUUUUGCUGUCACUUAUAGAUGGAUCCGCGCCGCAUUAGCUAGUUGGUAAGGUAACGGCUUACCAAGGCAACGAUGCGUAGCCGACCUGAGAGGGUGAUCGGCCACACUGGAACUGAGACACGGUCCAGACUCCUACGGGAGGCAGCAGUAGGGAAUCUUCCGCAAUGGGCGAAAGCCUGACGGAGCAACGCCGCGUGAGUGAUGAAGGUCUUCGGAUCGUAAAACUCUGUUAUUAGGGAAGAACAAAUGUGUAAGUAACUAUGCACGUCUUGACGGUACCUAAUCAGAAAGCCACGGCUAACUACGUG